GAGGUUCACGCCGAACAGCCUGAGCCGCCUUGUCGGCGCCGAGGCUGGGCUGCAGGUCCUGCCAUCUGCGUCCCACUGCGACUCCCCUGCGAUCAUUCACCGGAAAUUAAUGGUGUGCUAAUCAAGGUAGAGAUCGAGCAGGACUCCCAAGCAACGAUCGAGCUGGUUUCGGCUGGAUUCAUACACAGUGGAUUGGAAUCUGACUGUAAGGCAUUUGGGGAGCACCAACUGUUGCUGGAGGAUUGGAAUCACAGGACACUGGGUGAUCUGUUUGUUAUGAAUUUAUAAGUGGCAGAUCUGUAUCAGAUUCCGUAAAAUAUCAGGGACAAAAAUCAGCCAUGUCGCUUUGCUUGCUUCUUUGGAGACAGGUAUUCCAUCACAUGGUUUUUGGGGAAGCCGUUAUGGCUAGAUACAUUGUGUGCUGACUAAUACAUGCUUAUGUUAAGUAUUAUUCCGUUUGUCAAACUUUUGGAGAAACCGGAGGGGCCAUGAUCGAGGAGGGGGUCAUUUUUAUGUUAGGAGUGUUCAUGGGGCUUCAAGUCCCCAAACGCCAGGAUCAAAACUGGACCUGCACAGAGAUCACUUCCCCAAUUUCCAACAAGCCCUGAAUCAGGUGGUAAGAUUUUUUGUCCCCAGUUCCUCACGUCCUCUCCACUAUUGCUUAAUUAUUUGCUAGUGCAACUCCCACCCCUCAUAGUUACUCCUAUUCUGACACAAAUCCCCAGAAAAUCAUGUAUUCUGUUGUUUGCACUUUGCACACAGAGGUAUGCAAUAAAGAAAAUCGAGGCUCAGUAACUACACUCUACAUGUACUGCAAAAAAGUAUCUAUACUUGAUUGCAUUUGCAUAUAUAAUUAGGACUGAUUAAACUACAAGUCCUAUGUUUAGCAUCUCUUGGAGUAUGGAACAUACACAAGUAAUUAACUUCAAAUUGUUCAACAAGUACAGUGUCUUCUGUGUAAGAAAAGCCGUAAAGGUUAAUUACUAUAGUUAUGCAGAUGAUGACCCGGCCUAUUGUAAAUGUUAAAUAUAGCCGCUAACAUUUUUUUGGAAAAUAAUGGAAAAUAUGUACGAUGGGGAAUGCAAUAUUCUUGAAUUUUCGAAUCAAAAUAGAAGCGCGAUGUGGUUUCCUUUUCCUUUCAGAAUCACAAGUUGGGUAUGCAGUAGUAUAGUCAAACCAUACAAUUUUCAUAUCGCCGGUUGCAUGUCUAGACUUUGAUCAAAGAAGCAAUAAACAAAAUAUAGUACCCGUAAACUUGAUUAUAUUGCGUGUUAUCAAUGUCAAAGAGUGUCAGGAAGUACUAGAUUGUAACUACAAUAUUGGUACUCAUGCUACAUUGCCCUAGUGCAUGCACUUGUUGUGAAUUUUGACCAAGUGUAUCAUAUUUAAACAUGACCAUGAGUAGGAGCUGGGGAGCCAUGCAGCAGGUCCUCUUUUCUUAACUCAAUCAUGCAGCUCACCUGCCCAAUCUUUUGAUAAUGCAGGUUUGGUUUUUCCAUGCACAUGAAUGAGUUGGUAUCCUAUGGGAAUUGAAUACAUGAUAACUCAAGAUAAGGGGACACAUGCUAAUGCUCCUUAGUGUUGUUAUUCUUGUGGUCUCAGCUCCUUUCCAUUGAGGCCGUGCAUGUUUUGCUAAGUUCAUGCAGAUGUAGGACUAAAGAGCCUUGAGUGCAGCAUGUUACUCUCCGUUAAACAAAUAUAUACAUGCCACCAUGGGAAGUGUGCCAUUAAGCAUUACCAAUCUCGGGCCUUUAAAUAUUGGGAAAACCAAAAGUAUCUAGAUUAGUCAAAUCAAAAUGACACCAAUAAAUUUGUUGUCGAAAAAUAGUUUCAAGAAAUGAAUUACAGCAUCAUAGUCGUUUGCUGGCAUAUCAUUACAAAACCAAGGGUCAAGCACUCUUCCAACCUAAACUGUUUACCUUUUCCAUGUCACCUCACAAGGUACAUGAACCCAUGAAAGUCAAACACUGUAAGGUUGACCAUCAACAUAGAAGCAUUUACCUGACAUCCACGAUGCCGAAUUGAUAAUAUUAACUCCAUAACAUAUAUGUCCACAAUGUAUACUUGUUUUUUUAUAUGAAUAAACAUAUUUUCUUACAAAUGGUCAACAUCGUAAUUUUGGAGACGGAGUCAGUGUUGAUGUAUCGAGAACUCAUUCAAGAUCCCUUUUUUUUUUAGGUAUUAUAAAGCUAACACGAUCAAUCAGAUCGAGCUUGGGAGCACCAGCUUACAAACACAUAGCUAGAUCAUCAUGAUCUAGUCUGGUUAUUUCUACAGCAUAAUCUUCAUGGUUUGGUAAUUAAGUUUUAAAAAAUCUUCAUGCAUGAUUUGGUCAUUUCUUUCUGGGGAACUUAAUGAUGGACACCACGGAGCUCAUUUCUGUGAGAUCUAAAGCAUUUGCAUAUGUUGUGGACUAGCUUGGGACCAUGCAUAUAUGCAUGGUGUGCACAACCACCAUUGCAUCCUGCAUUCAUUGUGUCUAUGGGACAGCUCCCUGUAGCUAUAGCUAAAGCUGCCUAAGUUUCUGCACCAAGCAAGAAGCUGCAAAGUGUGUGCACGCAGCUGCAGCUGAACCGAUCGAGCUGAGCUGAAUCUGCAGCGAUCUUUUGAGCAGAUCUUGGUGGGAAGGAAGAAGAGAUGGAUGGAUGGAUGGAUGGAUGAUCCUUGAACAGGAACUGAAGACCGGUCGAUCGGAAGGUGACGCAUGAGAGAAAAGAAUUUUGGUGUGUUCUCAGAUACCCUUUUGUUACCCCUCAGCAGAGCAUGCAUUAUGUCGUGCUAGGUACUCCCUCCGUCGCAUAAUUCUUAUCGAUAUAUUACAUGUAUAUAGACGUUUUUUUAUAAUAGAUAUAUCCGGACAAGAAUUAUGAAACGGAGAGAGUGCAUAAUAAUGAUCCGAAGACCCUGGGCUGUGACGGAUCUAGGAUUUUGCCAAGUUUUACAGGUGGUUCUAUCAAGUGGCAUGUAAUUUACGGAACAGGUGCACAAAGUUCUGUGAUCGAUCUAGGCGGAAUUGGACUAAAUCAAAAUCCUGUAGGAUUCAAAUGGACAUGUCACGGCAAUCAUGUGCUUUUUUUAUUUCUGUGUUUUUUUCUAU